rnacentral:snRNA from 1 species
GGAUGUGAGGGCAAUCUGGCUGCGACAUCUGUCACCUCGCUGAUCGCCAGGGUUGAUUCAGCUGAUCGGGGUGGUUAGGUGGGUGUCGUCUUCCUCCCUCACUGCUCCAUGUGCGUCCCUCCCAAAGCCGCACCCUCAGACGAAGAGGAUGACCAUCCCCAAUAGAGGAGGACCAGUCUUCGGUCAAGGGUACAUGAGUAGCUGCACUUCCGUGCCAGAACCUCCAAACAAGCUCUCAAGGUCCAUUCGAUUUAAUGAAAACCAUAAGGCAGACCAUAAAGAGUGUGGCAUUUU